CUCCCUAAGUCCUAGAAUGGUGGAGGCUUUGAUAUGUACACAAAAUUGGCUUAGGAGUGAAAAUGUGUAUCUACAUCAUAUGCCUACUGUUGAGGAGAUGGAGUUGUGUGAAGAAGCGGAAAGAGAGAUGCUUAAGAUGUCAUGUGGAGCUGCAGUGGGGAGUAGUCGGAGCGGAAUGUUACCUCCAAAGUCGAAGACUUCAUCUUUCCGAGCUUGAGAUUUUGCUAUUGCCCUCAUUCAUAUGUUAGUGUUGAUGUAAUGAUGGACUUUUAUAAACUUUGGACUCUAUAUUUUUUGACAAUUUCAUAUAUUGAUGCUAGAAUUUGAUGGACUAUAUGAAUUGAAUUAUAUGGACUAUGGAGUAUCGAAUUAGA